AGACAUAAAACAAAAUGGAUUUGUUGGUCAAGUCAAAUGCCAUCCAUUCAAAAUCCUGUGAAAAAUGUAAAGAGAUCGAAAAUGGAGAGAAGACUAUCACUAUUGGUGGUCUGCAAAAGAAGCUGAAGCUACAUGCAAAAGUGGAUUUGGCUUAUUUGGUAAUUCACCUAAUGCAAGGUCAGUGAAAAUUGUUUUGAGGUCAGUGAAAAGUCAGGUGAGAGGGAAUUUUUGGGUUCUAAUGAGUGGUAACCCUGUUAACUUCCAUUUGUAGCCUACAGCUGUCAGUAGCCCCCUUUUCACCCUGACUGAACAUUGUAUAAGUUAUAAGCUUUGACUGUAAACUGAUAAGGGAUCAAACAGGAUAAUUAUGAUAAUAAUUAUAAUUUAUUUAGUAUCUGUUUUACAUGUUGUGUAAUAUUGUAACCUUUUAAUUUACAGGCUUUUUCAAGUCAGACGAGCCUGAUCUCCCAAAGUUUCACCUACUUGAUGGUGAAAAGGAGGUCUGCACUGUUCAGGAGCUUAAAGAAAAUACAACUUAUAGCAGAGGAAAUCACAGGGAUUUCACCUCAUUUCUCCAAAAGCAGACAAAUCAGGAUAAUCCAAAGGUUUUGUUCUUUGGAGAUAGCAUCAGGUCAGACCUGUAUCCAUCGGCAGUGUUUGGUGACUGGCAUGUUAUUACAGUGCUAGAGGAGAUGGAGUCUGAAGGAAUGGUCACUUGUGAAAAUGAGUGCUCAGUUGAAGAUGGUCCCAGAUCAAAGAAAGCAAGACUUGUGAUGCAUGACAUAGAGAUUGAAACAAGCAAGGAAGAAGUU